CAGAAGAGCCUGGAACUUCUGUGGGAAGCAACGAGUCCAUCUCAGUACUUUUUUAAAAUGAAGAAGACUUGCCAUUAGUUAUGAACAUCACUCUCAUCACUCUACUAACCACAACUCUCUAAAAAUAUUCUGAACUUCUGAACAAGGCUUCCAUUCCAUUAUAGGAGACCAAAUAACUGCAAAGGUCUAGUAAGAUGUAAAAUGUACCAGCUGAGGAUAAACAGAGUGGUGAGAGUUAUAUCCACACAGAGGAGGGGUAUCUCUUAACCAUGUCCCAUUACAUAGGGGCUCAAUAAAUUUUUUUUGGAAUUGAA